UACGUAGGUGGCGAGCGUUGUCCGGAUUUACUGGGCGUAAAGGGAGCGUAGGCGGACUUUUAAGUGAGGUGUGAAAUACCCGGGCUCAACUUGGGUGCUGCAUUUCAAACUGGAAGUCUAGAGUGCAGGAGAGGAGAAUGGAAUUCCUAGUGUAGCGGUGAAAUGCGUAGAGAUUAGGAAGAACACCAGUGGCGAAGGCGAUUCUCUGGACUGUAACUGACGCUGAGGCUCGAAAGCGUGGGGAGCAAACAGGAUUAGAUACCCG
rnacentral:rRNA from 1 species